AACCAAGGCGCCACACACUAUCUCAAUAAUCCUGUGCAUUUCUCGUUUACAUUUCGGCGAACUUGUCGGGAUUUUGGUUACGGCAGGAGGGGUCCAUUUAACAACGUGCAGUUCGAGUGUCCGGUACUUCGCGAGGUACACGCCAUGUUAUAAAUCGUGCGGCAUCUUAAGUUUGUACGAGAUCAAAUCGCCGGAUGCGUCUGUUUCUGCAGGUCUUUGGAGAGAUGAAAGGGGAUAAAAGAUACUACACGUUACUUGUAAAGAUUCUACAAGCUGUAUGACAAGAUUUUGGU
rnacentral:misc_RNA from 1 species